ACACGACUACAUUAGAUACCCCCGUAGUCCUGGCCGUAAACGAUGUGGACUUGGUGUUGGAAUGGCUCCGAGCUGCUCCAGUGCCGAAGGGAAGCUGUUAAGUCCACCGCCUGGGAAGUACGGUCGCAAGACUGAAACUUAAGGAAUUGCGGGGAGCACCACGACGCGUGGAGCCUGCGGUUUAAUUGGAUUCAACGCCGGACAUCUCACCAGGGCGACAGCAGAAUGAUGGCCAGGUUGAUGACCUUGCUUGACAAGCUG
rnacentral:rRNA from 1 species